rnacentral:rRNA from 1 species
CCUACGGGUGGCUGCAGUGGGGAAUAUUGCACAAUGGGGGAAACCCUGAUGCAGCGACGCCGCGUGAGCGAUGAAGUCUUUCUGUAUGUAAAGCUCUAUCAGCAGGGAAGAAAAUCACGGUACCUGCCUACGAAGCCCCGGCUCCACACGUCCCAGCCGCCGCGGUAAUACGUCGGGGGCAAGCGUUAUCCGGAUGUACUGGGUGUAAAGGAGGCGUAGCCGGGCCUGCAAGCCGGAUGUGAAAGCCCGGGGCUCAACCCCGGGACUGCAUUUGGAACUGUAAGGCUAGAGUGUGGGAGAGGCAGGCGGAAUUCCUAGUGUAGCGGUGAAAUGCGUAGAUAUUAGGAGGAACACCAGUGGCGAAGGCGGCCUGCUGGACGAUGACUGACGUUGAGGCUCGAAAGCGUGGGGAGCAAACAGGAUUAGAUACCCCUGUAGUC